AGUCACUGACAUUAGAUACCCGUGUAGUCCAGGGUGUAAACGCUGCAGACUUGGUGUUGGGAACCCUUCGGGGGUGCCCAGUGCCGGAGAGAAGUUGUUAAGUCUGCUACUUGGGGAGUACGUCCGCAAGGAUGAAACUUAAGGAAUUGGCGGGGGAGCACCGCAACGGGAGGAGCGUGCGGUUUAAUUGGAUUCAACGCCGAAAAACUCACCAGCAGCGACUGUUACAUGAAAGUCAGGUUGAUGACCUUACUAGAUUUUCAG
rnacentral:rRNA from 1 species